rnacentral:rRNA from 1 species
UACAGAGGUCUCAAGCGUUGUUCGGAUUCAUUGGGCGUAAAGGGUGCGUAGGCUGCGGGGCAAGUCGGGUGUGAAAUCUCAGAGCUCAACUCUGAAACUGCACUCGAUACUGCUUUGCUUGAGGACUGGAGAGGAGAUUGGAAUUCACGGUGUAGCAGUGAAAUGCGUAGAUAUCGUGAGGAAGACCAGUGGCGAAGGCGGAAUCUCUGGACAGUUCCUGACGCUGAGGCGCGAAGGCCAGGGGAGCAAACGGG